AUGGGUUUGCGUCCGUGCAUUGGGCCGUCAUUUCUGCCCACGCGAACACAAACGGACGAAAUACGUCCAUGCUUUGGAGUAUCCCUUAUCCUCCCACGCCAUCAAUGGCAAGGUCUCGGCCAUGCGAGUCCCGCUCUUGCGCAACUAGUGCUAUUUUUGGAAAGCGGGCUGCAGGGGGAGACGGCGACGGGGGUAAGCCACUAUAAUGAAGCUUCAAAUGGAAGUUUUGAGGAACAUUCAACAACCUUCAUUAGACGGGGAUCACAGAGGUUGAUCAUACUUGACCAAUUCUGCAUAAGUGAAUACAAAAGAAGUGAUUCCAGCAAACAUGAAAGUGUGGAGUAUGAACUUAUGUUCAGCGGAUGGUCUCAAGUUCAACCUAUCAUAGGUUUCAAGUUCAAACUAACAAAAAAGAGGAAAUAUUCACUCCUGGAAAUGGGUGUCACUGAUCUGGGAACCUUCAUGUCAGUACACUAUGCUUCUACCCUAACAAAGAUUUUCUAA
rnacentral:rRNA from 1 species